rnacentral:rRNA from 1 species
GGGGAAUAUUGCACAAUGGGGGAAACCCUGAUGCAGCGACGCCGCGUGAAGGAUGAAGGUUUUCGGAUCGUAAACUUCUUUGAUCGGGGACGAAAUUUGACGGUACCGAAGAACAAGCCACGGCUAACUACGU